CUCCGCUCAUCUUACAGAAAUGGGUAUACCACCAGAGGAAGGGUCCCUCGCGGGCUUUAGGGAAGCCAGACAGCCCAGAAAUACCCUUCAAGGAACUUGAUCAAGCCGGGCGUGGUGGCACACUCC
rnacentral:lncRNA from 1 species